rnacentral:rRNA from 1 species
GCCCGCCGUGGAAACUGGCAGUCUCGAGUUGGAGAGAAGUAUGCGGAAUGCGCGGGGUAGCGGUGAAAUGCAUAGAUAUCGCGCAGAACUCCGAUUGCGAAGGCAGCAUGCCGGCUCCACACUGACGCUGAGGCACGAAAGCGUGGGUAUCGAACAGGAUUAGAUACCCUGGUAGUCCACGCAGUAAACGAUGAAUGCUGGCUGUCCGGGGGGAUUGACCCCUGGGUGGCGAAGCGAAAGCGAUAAGCAUUCCACCUGGGGAGUACGCCGGCAACGGUGAAACUCAAAGGAAUUGACGGGGGCCCGCACAAGCGGAGGAACAUGUGGUUUAAUUCGAUGAUACGCGAGGAACCUUACCCGGGCUCAAACGGGGAGUGACUCAGGCAGAGACGCCUGUUUCCCACGGGACACUCCCCGAGGUGCUGCAUGGUUGUCGUCAGCUCGUGCCGUGAGGUGUCGGCUUAAGUGCCAUAACGAGCGCAACCCCCGCGUGCAGUUGCUAACAGAUAACGCUGAGGACUCUGCACGGACUGCCGGCGCAAGCCGCGAGGAAGGCGGGGAUGACGUCAAAUCAGCACGGCCCUUACGUCCGGGGCGACACACGUGUUACAAUGGGUGGUACAGCGGGAAGCCAGGCGGCGACGCCGAGCGGAACCCGAAAUCCACUCUCAGUUCGGAUCGGAGUCUGCAACCCGACUCCGUGAAGCUGGAUUCGCUAGUAAUCGCGCAUCAGCCAUGGCGCGGUGAAUACGUU